UCAACCCUCAAGCUUAGCUUGUUAUUGGAUGCAGUUCUCAUUUUGACAAUUCAUCCCAAAGCGAAUGGCGGUGUCUUUGGACCCUUGAUGCAACGAGCUUUUCACAGCACGCAUUUAAAGUGGUUGAUUGAUUCUAGCCCUCUCAAUUAUAUUUCUAA
rnacentral:misc_RNA from 1 species